GUACACUCCUACGGGAGGCAGCAGUGAGGAAUAUUGGACAAUGGGUGGAAGCCUGAUCCAGCCAUCCCGCGUGCAGGAAGACGGCCCUAUGGGUUGUAAACUGCUUUUAUCUGGGGAUAAACCUACUUACGUGUAAGUAGCUGAAGGUACCAGAAGAAUAAGCACCGGCUAACUCCGUGCCAGCAGCCGCGGUAAUACGGAGGGUGCAAGCGUUAUCCGGAUUUAUUGGGUUUAAAGGGUCCGUAGGCGGACUGAUAAGUCAGUGGUGAAAUCCGACAGCUUAACUGUCGAACUGCCAUUGAUACUGUUAGUCUUGAGUAAGGUUGAAGUGGCUGGAAUAAGUAGUGUAGCGGUGAAAUGCAUAGAUAUUACUUAGAACACCAAUUGCGAAGGCAGGUCACUAAGUCUUAACUGACGCUGAUGGACGAAAGCGUGGGGAGCGAACAGGAUUAGAAACCCCGGUAGUCCCAUGA
rnacentral:rRNA from 1 species